rnacentral:lncRNA from 1 species
UAUUAGGAAGAGGAUAUAUGAGCAUAGCAAUGAAUGGUAAAUCAGCAUUUCUGCCUCUUUACCAGCUUUUAUGAUCGGCAUUAAUGGUGGCAACUGUCACAGAGAUUAUGGCUGCUUUAUUUCAAGGGAGUCUAAGAGGCAGAACGUAGUGAAUAGAUAUUCUGCUGAGAAUCUCUCCUGUAUCAUGCCAGUGGAAACAGAUUCCACAGUUAAAUAACAGAGGACCUUCAUGUUUUUGUGCAAGAAUGUUUUGCCUCUCUGGGAGUUCCUUAUUUUGAGCUCUACCAUGGAGCACAGGACUUUGGCUCUCCACAAAGUCUGUGAACCCUCUGGCCAGAUGUAAGCGCCUGUCUGUAUUGCCCUCCUUCUGGAGGUGAAGAGGAAGGUAAGCACUUCUGCCUACUGAGUCUGGUUUAUGUGAUUGAUGCUGGGACUUCUAAUUUCGAGGACAAACGAUCCAUUAGUGGAAAUGGGCACACCGGAAACCUCAGUGCCAAUAAGUUAAGUGCCCAUCACUGUACUCAGUGAACAGUCUGCUGAUCUCAAUUGUAGGCAAU